rnacentral:rRNA from 1 species
UAGCCGAGUUGUAGAGACUGAUCGGCCACAUUGGGACUGAGACACGGCCCAAACUACCUACGGGAGGCAGCAGUAGGGAAUCUUCCACAAUGGACGCAAGUCUGAUGGAGCAACACCGCGUGAGUGAAGAAGGGUUUCGGCUCGUAAAGCUCUGUUGUUGGUGAAGAAGGACAGGGGUAGUAACUGACCUUUGUUUUGACGGUAAUCAAUUAGAAAGUCACGGCUAACUACGUGCCAGCAGCCGCGGUAAU